rnacentral:rRNA from 1 species
UACGUAGGGUGCAAGCGUUGUCCGGAAUUAUUGGGCGUAAAGAGCUCGUAGGCGGUCUGUCGCGUCGGCUGUGAAAACUCGGGGCUCAACUCCGAGCUUGCAGUCGAUACGGGCAGGCUAGAGUUCGGCAGGGGAGACUGGAAUUCCUGGUGUAGCGGUGAAAUGCGCAGAUAUCAGGAGGAACACCGGUGGCGAAGGCGGGUCUCUGGGACGGUACUGACGCUGAGACGCGAAAGCCAGGGGAGCGAACGGG